rnacentral:tRNA from 1 species
GGGCCCAUCGUCCAGCGGCCUAGGACAUCACCCUUUCAAGGUGAAGACCGGAGUUCGAGUCUCCGUGGGCCUACCA